GAUGAACGCUGGCGGCGUGCCUAAUACAUGCAAGUCGAGCGAACAGAUGAGGAGCUUGCUCCUCUGACGUUAGCGGCGGACGGGUGAGUAACACGUGGAUAACCUACCUAUAAGACUGGGAUAACUUCGGGAAACCGGAGCUAAUACCGGAUAAUAUAUUGAACCGCAUGGUUCAAUAGUGAAAGACGGUUUUGCUGUCACUUAUAGAUGGAUCCGCGCCGCAUUAGCUAGUUGGUAAGGUAACGGCUUACCAAGGCAACGAUGCGUAGCCGACCUGAGAGGGGGGUCGGCCACACUGGAACUGAGACACGGUCCAGACUCCUACGGGAGGCAGCAGUAGGGAAUCUUCCGCAAUGGGCGAAAGCCUGACGGAGCAACGCCGCGUGAGUGAUGAAGGGUUUCGGAUCGUAAAACUCUGUUAUUAGGGAAGAACAAAUGUGUAAGUAACUAUGCACGUCUUGACGGUACCUAAUCAGAAAGCCACGGCUAACUACGUG
rnacentral:rRNA from 1 species